rnacentral:lncRNA from 1 species
GCGUGACGAAAUCCUUUACAACGAACCUCUGCGACACCUCGUGCGUUUGGCUACCUUUAUAACAGGUACCCGAAAGAUUCAUAAUAUUUUAGUACUUUGCCUGAUAUCGGAAUGGAAAAUCAGCAAGGACAAGCUUGACAAGAAUUUCACGAGGCGUCACUCAAAAGUGAAGUACGUAAUCAUCCCGCGUGUUUGACUGGAAAACUUACUGAUUCGUGACUUAAACAAAGUAUGUGAAUAAAACAAGCCGAAAAUGAUGACAUAGGACUUGAAGGCUCUACAACGCUUGCAGAUAACAAGUGAUGUCGUCAUUACUAGCUGCUUUGCACUCUAUUAUUGUUUUCGUUGUAUUUAAUCGUUAAUUAUAAUGAUAAUUUAUUUCUCUGCGACACCACCGCUAUUCGGUCUUUACACCGAAUCAUUUCUUCGUUAAUGACAUUUUUGCUCAAAUAUGCAUUAAUUGAACAAACGAAAUGGUAGACAUUUUCAGAGGAGCACUGUUUCAACUCUUUGGUAACUGAAGAUUGAAGCCCGGUUUCGUUUUAUCACCCAUUCUAAACCCUUCAGUUCAUCAGUUUUCUCGCCGUUUGUGAGGUACUGAACAAUUUCAUGAAUCGUUCCGAUCGCCCCUGUCUUCGAUACAAUUUCAUGAGCUGAAUCGGGACAGGCGUAAGAAUGCGACGAUCAACGGUCGCCGCGAUUGUUCUGGUCGUAAGUGGUCGUUUCAUCUGGUUCCCAUAUAAUCGUUAGUACGAUCGCCAAUGCAUUCUUUGGGGUGAUCUGCACGAUCAUGUGGAAAGUAAAGUUUGACUUAUUUGGUAUGGGAUCAAACAAGGCGUUACGUAUGACGAACUUCACGCUUGGACAUAAAGCGAAUAUAGCCCUAAUAAAUCUUUUUUUUAACAGAGGCGGAUCUAAAAAAAAAUAAAAAUGAACAAACGA